rnacentral:rRNA from 1 species
GAUGAACGCUGGCGGCGUGCCUAAUACAUGCCAGUCGAGCGAACAGACGAGGAGCUUGCUCCUCUGACGUUAGCGGCGGACGGGUGAGUAACACGUGGAUAACCUACCUAUAAGACUGGGAUAACUUCGGGAAACCGGAGCUAAUACCGGAUAACAUGUUGAACCGCAUGGUUCAACAGUGAAAGACGGUCUUGCUGUCACUUAUAGAUGGAUCCGCGCCGCAUUAGUUAGUUGGUAAGGUAACGGCUUACCAAGGCAACGAUGCGUAGCCGACCUGAGAGGGUGAUCGGCCACACUGGAACUGAGACACGGUCCAGACUCCUACGGGAGGCAGCAGUAGGGAAUCUUCCGCAAUGGGCGAAAGCCUGACGGAGCAACGCCGCGUGAGUGAUGAAGGUCUUCGGAUCGUAAAACUCUGUUAUUAGGGAAGAACAAAUGUGUAAGUAACUAUGCACGUCUUGACGGUACCUAAUCAGAAAGCCACGGCUAACUACGUG